AACUGAUUUUUGGACUUCGGCCAUGGGAUUGAAGCUUGCUUCGCCCUGGCCACGGGUUGUCUCGGUAUUGCACUACAUCCGAGUACGCCCCCUUCCCC
rnacentral:sRNA from 1 species